AAAACCACCACUGGAAAAAAAUCAAAGGACAACUAACAAAAAAGUACCAUGGUAUUUUCUUUGAAAUUGUAUCUUCUUUAUAGCACAAGGAAGUUACGAAUGUGAAAGGUCAUCAAUAUGAUUGCCUCAGCGAAACCACAUCAAUGACCACACCAACUGACACGCUAACAUAGGGAGCUCGAAGUGCCUUGUAGAUGUUAUCACAUGAAUCCUCUCACUGUCCCAGUGAGGCCAGGAACAAAUAGUCUGCCAUCCUGGAGAACAGACUGAGAAAGCUGUUAUCAGGGAACAUAGGAUACACAGCAGUCUCCAUGAAGGAUGGAUGCAGUGCAUGUUGUUGCAGUGGUUUGUGAAAGCUCACAUCCUAGCAGCAUCAUUUGGAUGGAUGGUAAGUGAUUGAU
rnacentral:lncRNA from 1 species